GUUCCAGGUUGAUAUCAACAGGCGUGAACAAGGUUGUGCGGCCCACCAUGAACAGUAUUGUCAACAUGUUGUUGCAGCAUUGUUCAACUGUAACAAAGUUCUUGGAACAACAUGGUUGACAACUUGUUCAUAGUUGGCCGCACAACAUUGUUCCCGCCUGUCGAUAUCAACUUGGAAC
rnacentral:miRNA from 1 species